GUGGAUUUCUGCUGCUGGCGACCCUGUGUCCUGCAGAGCGGAGCACUGUCUGUUUUUUUUGCACCAUCCUCUCACCUUGCAGCGGUGCUAUAUCAGACAAUGCUCUGCUGCUCUUCAUAGGGUGUUCACUACCGAGGUUUUUAGAAGUGGGUGGCCAGGGCCUUCUUCAUAGUCUGUCUUAGUCUGGAAGCUCUGCUGACGAUUGUUCACCAAGGAUGAUCCUGCUGGUAUAUGAAAUACCGGCAGCAUAGCUUUUAGCAUCACAGCAGCACACAACAUCCACAGUGUGACAACCGACAGGUGGUGUGGUUCCCUGACUGGGAAAGGAACCCAGGUAUGGGCGGUGAGAGUGCGAAAUCUUAACCACUAGACCAGCAGGGCUGGCUGAAUGGCCCUGGACAAAUCAUGGAGCCCCUCUGCCACCCUGCUGUCUCCUCUGCACCUGCCUGGGGCUGGGGGCCCCAUGGGGCCGUGUUUAAGCCCUGCCCUGUGCUGAGCCGAAGCCUCCGCAGGUGACUCUGUGACCAGCAACCACCCCGUGGAACUGGGCCAGAGCCACUGCCAGACACCUGGCAGAACCACUGAUCAGAUGUCCCGAGGAUGAGCAUCCCCAUCAACCUCCUGUGUUUGAGUCUUGGGGAGGCCAAUCUUUUCCUCAGGUCCCAGGUCUCAUCAAAAGAGAGUCGGUGAUGUCAAUAAUGAAUCUCAGGACGUGUGCACAUGGCUCCCCAAGGAUAGAGCACAACCGGGAGCCUGCAGGCAUGCUCUGGGCCUGCGGCACACCUCACAGCGUCUGAAGAGGCCCAUGGCUCAAAGAUGGGAUGGGGUGUAAGGUAGAGGCUCCUCCUUCCUAAACUUGCACUGAUCUCAGCCCUUAUAACAAAGCCCUCAGGAAAUGAAUCCAGAUCCCAACCUCUCCCCAGAUGGAAGUUCAGAUAGGGGCAGGAUCCUGCUUGACUUGAUUCCCUGGCUUUGUGAUGUCAUUAAAGACCCAUAUUCUUUUCAUAUCUCCACACUGCCACAAUUUCCCCUGGGUCUGUCACACUUCUGCACAUCUUGCAAGCAGAGGCACUGACAGCUUUUGCUCCAGACCAUCUUUUCAAGGAUGCCCUGUUAGGGGCCUGGGGAGCCCAGCCAACUCAGCCUCACUUCCACACCCUGUCACCUGUUUUUCCAGCUGUCAUCACCUGGUGGCCCCAGAGUCUUCUUGGGGACCAGAUGAGGAGCAAGCUGUAGCCCGCCCUCAGCAGCCCCCUCACCAGGACAUGCCCUGUACCACCUUGGACGUCCUUGUCGUGGGUGAAGACAGGCAGCCCUGGCAUUGGGGCAGGCUCUGGAUGCUAAGCGCCUCCUGGAGCCCACCCAAGCUCCCUCCCCAGCAACUCCCUGUGGGCAAAGGGUCAAAGAUUGAACCAAAAAAAAACGUUGUAGAGCAGAGAGAAAGUCUCUGAAAAUUUAAACCGUCAGAUAAUAAAGUCUCUGUAGCAAAAGAAAGGAGAGCAAAAAUGUGAGUUAACUGUGGUUAAUUGCAUUAGAUUGGUGUGUCUGAAGAGAAGAGUUAACUGUAAGAAAGACUGCCAGGAAGCUCAGGAAAUACUUUUGGUUGAAUCUCUCUCUCUCUCUCUUCCCUCCAUCCACUUUCGUACAGCCAAAAGAGUGAUUCUUAGAGGUAAUCGAAUAAAGCAG
rnacentral:lncRNA from 1 species